UACAGCUGGUGAUAUACACGAUAAAUGUAGGUUAUAUAUAGGAGAGUUAAUGUGGUAUAUCCAUUGCAGCAGAAUAUCCUUGGAAAGGGUCCUACUCUUUGAUACAUAAUUAAUCCUCAUAUCCUCCUUUUUUAAAGCUCUAGAAUAUCAUGUUCUUAUACUCUGACUCUAUAUCUUAAAACCUAUACACACUUAUUACCCUAAUUUUUCCACCUAGAACCUAUACAUAUACAUAU
rnacentral:lncRNA from 1 species